CACAAACUUUAGUGUGUAACCUGCACUGCUGUCUACAGUGGAAUCAGGAGCCCAGUGAGGGCCAGGGCCACAGGUCAUGGAUGCCAGAGCAGCCAGCCAGGUGUCGGCAGGUAACAGAAAUAGGUCCAAACCAGCCCAGGUGUAGACAGGUAAAGGAAAUGAAUGCAGACCAGCCAGGUGUGGACAAGUAAGGGAAAUGAGUGUAGACCAGCCCAGGUAUAGACAGGUAACAGAAAAGAGCAUAGACCAGCCUGGUGUGGACAGGUAACAGAAAUGAACAUAGACCAGCCAGGUGUGGACAGGUAAGGGCAAUGAGUGUAGACCAGCCAGGUGUGGACAGGUAAGGGCAAUGAGUGUAGACCAGCCAGGUGUGGACAGGUAACAGAAAUGAACAUAGCCCAGCCAGGUGUGGACAGGUUAGGGCAAUGAGUAUUGACCAGCCAGGUGUGGACAGGUAAGGGCAAUGAGUAUAGACCAGCCAGGUGUGGACAGGUAACAGAAGUGAGCAUAGACCAGCCCAGGUGUGAACAGGUAAGGGCAAUGAGUGAAGACCAGCCAAGGUGUGGACAGGUAAGAGCAACGAGUGCAGGUGCUGCUAAUUUUAGAGAACUGUCAGAUCUCACAGAAAUGCGAGUCCAGCGUUGGACAAAACGUCUGAUUUUUUUUCAAGAAGCUAGAAAUUUAGGCUUUUAUUGAAGUAUGGGCAGCCGUAUUAAUCAGGAUUCUUGGUGGCAGCAGUGGCAGUCACCUCUACCCGACCAGGAGGACAUGGGAUCACUCACAGAGGCCCCCAGGAACGGCUGAGAGGCUGGAAGGGGACACGGGGAGCCACCCUGGGUGGGGCAGCCCUACAUCCCUCUGGCUGCCCUCUGACCACAGCAGAGGAGACCGGCUGCCCCCUCCCCACGGCCCCGGCCCUGGUCACAGCCAUGCCUCCCACAGCCACCACCACAGCCUCGGCCACAGAAGCCCCCCCGCCGCCCCAGGUGCACAGGAGGCCAGUGGGCGCUGCUGGCACGUCCCAGCCACCUUCCAGGAAGCCGAGCAGGAAGGGUCCGCCCCCACCGCAACACCCCGUGACGGCUGCACUAUGUGCGCUCUGCCAGCUCGCUGCCCCUGGCACUGGGUCCCGGGCAGCAUCCCUUGCGGUGCUGAGGGCCCAGGGGACUUGUGAGGGUGGGGUCCUGGGCCCAGCCAGUCAUGCUGUCGUUUCUCGUGGCUUCACCCAGCGGGCCCAUCCUGGAAACACAGGACGGCUUGUUACACAGGUUUGUGUUUGAGCUCGGAGAUGAGAGAACACGCCUCGGAAACAAUGUGGUUCUGACUCUCUGACCCCCGCGGGCUGCACGUGUCCACCCACGCCCUCCUGGACCUCCUUCUCUUUCCCCUGCCUGGCCUCCCUUUACGGUCUCGGGGCGCUUAGAUGAAUGCAGGGACCGUCGCCACACUAGGGAAUUCCGCCGAGUGGCAGUGCCCCUCUCAGUCGGGGUGACAUAGGCGGGGGAGGGGCUGUCCCUGUGGGUACUCCAGCCCAAGGGUCCUCUGAGUUCACCCACCCAGCGGAUAGAUGACGUAAAGAAAAUACUGAGAACGCUGUUUGCUCAGGAAACUUAUUCUUCCAGAUUGAAUGCAAAAAGCCUACGUUUACAUAACUGAACUUUACAAAUCAAGCCAGUAUUGACUCGUGCCCUGACCUAUUUCUCUAGAAUUUAAAUAACUUUACUUAUUCCAGGAGCUACGUCCCUGUUUCCUUAAAGUUAUACGUUGUGUUGAUGAAGGGUUCCGUCAGACAGAGCAUUCUAUUGGGUUAAAACCUGAAUUGUGGAUGUAUUUACACGGCACCCCCUUUUCAACUGCCCGGCCGCAGCCGCCCGUUCCAGCUGGCAGAGCCCUGGGGUCCAGCCUCACCGUGAGCCCCUUCGGGGUCUGAAUCAGGGUUUUUAUCUGGAGUAGCUUUUCAAUAAACAUAUUCAAAGACGGCAUUAGACCCCGUUAGCUAUCAAACGUUCUACCUUUUAAGCCUUUAAGCCUUUUUCACACAGAGAACUAAAUCUAAAAUGUUCUGUUACACCGUGAGAUGAUCAUUUUAAAUGCUGAGAAGGAAAAAGUGCCCCGUAGUCCCCUCCCGAGGCAGCAGACUAAAUGUUGGCCCUUCAAAUGUGUUGCUGUGGCGUCUUGGUGCUCUGGGUUUCAUCUCAGCGUUAUGCUGCCCGGGAGGCCGGUGCUGUGCCCUUUGUCCCUCCCUGGGGUGGAGACUUUGGUGGUUUAAGGAGGAAGUGAGGGGAAGGACGGGCUGGGGCCUGGCUGCUCCGGCCAAUAACUCUGGCUCUGCUAUUUCCUGGGCAAGGUUCCGAACUCCCUGUGCCUCGGCAUACCCACCUGUAAAUAGGGGGCUCACCAUCCCCACAUCAGACAGAGGUUGUUGAAAGGAUUAAAUGAGUUAAAACAUGGAAAGCUCUUCCAGGAGUCGGGUGCCGGGAAGUCCGGGGUGGCGACGCUGCGGGGGACCGAGAAGUGAGCUGUGUUUCCUGUCUGAGGCUGCCAGUCAGACGACAGGAAGCAAGUGGCUCCCCAGGAACCAGAUCGCUAUGUCUGACUGCACUGUCGAUGUCCUUCCCAAAGCAACGGCUGCACCUGGGCCCUGGGACGGCCCCAACGCCUCUCACCAGUGGCUGCACAGCGAUCUGGGGCCAACACCCGUCAUCUCCUCCUCAGCAAUUGCCACAGAGGCCCUUUCUUCUCCGCACAAGUGGAUAGAGAAUAAAAACGAGCCAGAGGGAGGGACACACAAGGAUGCACAACCACCCCUCAUCAGAGAAGUCUGGAGGAAGACAGGCAUUGACUGAAGGCGAAAUCCCCACGCUCAGUCCGCCAGAGCACAUAGCAAUGAGCGGGUGCUGGCCCGUGGAGCGGCCGAGAAGCUGGACACAGGGAGCUGUGCUUGGAGUGCCAGAGGAAAUACGCAGCCUCAGGGCCGCCCCAGCACGUGCUGGCCGUCUGCUCCCACUGGGAGCCUCCCACCCGCCCAGGCACCGAAGCCCAGCCAGGGAGCCAACACUUCGGUGAGAGCUGGUGCUCACCCCCGAGGCCACGUCUGAACUCACCGCUCUGCACCUCCCUUUCCACCAGGAGCUACUCCGUGCAUCCUCCUCCCUGGCGGGGCUCCCCAACCUGCAUCCUGUGACCUUCGUCCUGUGCCCCAUUAGGAGGAACACUGGGCACAGCCCUGG
ensembl:lncRNA